GACUCGUCACACUAUCAUUAACUGAAUCCAUAGGUUAAUGAGGCGAACCGGGGGAACUGAAACAUCUAAGUACCCCGAGGAAAAGAAAUCAACCGAGAUUCCCCCAGUAGCGGCGAGCGAACGGGGAGGAGCCCAGAGCCUGAAUCAGCAUGUGUGUUAGUGGAAGCGUCUGGAAAGGCGCGCGAUACAGGGUGACAGCCCCGUACACAAAAGCGCAUGUGCUGUGAGCUCGAUGAGUAGGGCGGGACACGUGGUAUCCUGUCUGAAUAUGGGGGGACCAUCCUCCAAGGCUAAAUACUCCUGACUGACCGAUAGUGAACCAGUACCGUGAGGGAAAGGCGAAAAGAACCCCGGCGAGGGGAGUGAAAAAGAACCUGAAACCGUGUACGUACAAGCAGUGGGAGCACAGGUUUACCUGUGUGACUGCGUACCUUUUGUAUAAUGGGUCAGCGACUUAUAUUCUGUAGCAAGGUUAACCGUAUAGGGGAGCCGGAGGGAAACCGAGUCUUAAU
rnacentral:rRNA from 2 species